rnacentral:rRNA from 1 species
AUUCCAGCUCCAAUAGCGAAUACUAAUUCUGCUGCAGUUAAAAAGCUCGUAGUUGAACUUGUGGCAGGACAGAUCCGGCCGUUGGGCGAAUGCCCUUUGAUGCUGUGUGUCUCGUCUGGCCAUCCUCGGCAAUUCUUUUUACAAGGUUGUCGUCUUUCACUGUAAAAAAAUUAGGGUGUUUCAAGCAAAGUUUAUGUUGGAAUAUAUUAGUAUGGGAUGAUAAGAUAGGCUCUGGAUGCUAUUUCGUUGGUUUGCACAUUUAGAGAAUGAUUAACAGGGACAGUUGGGGGUAUUCAUAUUUACAUGUCAGAGGUGAAAUUCUUGGAUUUUGGAAAGAUGAACUACUGCGAAGGCAUUUACCAAGGAUGUUUUCAUUG